GUUUUCAAAGUUGGCGAUAGUUUUCAUUUCUACAUUCUUCUCUCAUUUCUCCGACGAACUCCAGGCGAAAUCGAUUUGCCUCCGGCAGCUUCUCAGUCGGAUCGCUAUUUUCAGACGGGGGCAUCAGGGUUCGAAACUUGUCUGCAAAAGGGAAGGCGAAAGAGAUAAGCUCUUAAACCUUAAUCUCCUCUCUUUAUCGGUUGAAUUUUUGUUUCGAAACCUCCGGUUCUUCUACGCCUCUUUCUCCGGCUGAUUUGGAUGCUCUCAGCGCCGAUUAUGUCUUGGAUUGCGUAAAAUCCGUAGUGAAGACAUUGAGAUACCACCAUGGAUUCUCUGGGGACCAGCUUGUUGGAUGUUAGUUGAGAUUGGGUCAUGAAUUUUACGCAGAGAAGCUGAUCGAUGAAAUGCCUGAAAGAGAUUUAGUCUCUUUGAUAUCUGGGUUUUCACGGAUUGCACCAAUUAUAUCUGCUUGUGUUCACGAGAGAAGUAGAGAAGAAGGACGCUGCGUUCACGGGCUGGUGAUGAAUCAUGUGUGCUUGAAAAAGUGCAAACUGUGAAUGCUCUUAUCAAUUGGUAUGGAGAGCUUAUAGAAUGAUCAAAGAGAUGCCAAAGAGUUUAUGGAGAUACCAAACUCGAUAAAGAAGCCGCAGAGAGGUUGUUUGAGUUGGAACCUUGUGAUAAAGGUUUGAUACAUGAUAAAAAUUCUCUCAAACGCAAGUCUUCAUCAUCUAGUUUUGUCCCGUUUUGCUCUAGUAGCGGGAAGGUUCUUCAUUCGGGAUUCAAUGCUCAGUCCACCGUGUUGAUGCUUCCUCCCAAAGAACAAACCAUGGAUUGUAAGUGAAGCUUGCUUUGAGUUGAGCUUUUUAAAUAGCAGUUGUUACAUUUGUAUAACACCGUUGUUGAAACAAGUGUCUAUGUGAAACUCCAAUUAUAAUAUUGUCUCUUGCUUACUUUUUUUGUAUAAACCCACUCUAUUGGUGUAAUUUGUCGUGUGUUUUUCAAUU